rnacentral:rRNA from 1 species
GUGGGGAAUCUUCCGCAAUGGACGAAAGUCUGACGGAGCAACGCCGCGUGAGUGAUGAAGGUCUUCGGAUUGUAAAGCUCUGUUAAUCGGGACGAAAGAGCCUAGUGUGAAUAAUGCUAGGAAGUGACGGUACCGGAAUAGAAAGCCACGGCUAACUACGUGCCAGCAGCCGCGGUAAUACGUAGGUGGCAAGCGUUGUCCGGAAUUAUUGGGCGUAAAGCGCGCGCAGGCGGAUCUGCCAGUCUGUCUUAAAAGUUCGGGGCUUAACCCCGUGAUGGGAUGGAAACUACCGAUCUAGAGUAUCGGAGAGGAAAGUGGAAUUCCUAGUGUAGCGGUGAAAUGCGUAGAUAUUAGGAAGAACACCAGUGGCGAAGGCGACUUUCUGGACGAAAACUGACGCUGAGGCGCGAAAGCCAGGGGAGCGAACGGGAUUAGAAACCCCGGUAGUCC